UGUUAUUUUGGAAUUCUUAUAUUUGUAUUUUGUGCGUUCCUGCUCCCGUGAUGAAUGAUGCGUUCACUGUGCAACGGUCGCUUGCUUAGCGGCUUGCCUGUACAACGCUUUUUUGCUCGUUAUUAGCGUGAUGUGUGACACAGGCGUUGGUUUUAUAAUCGAAAGGAUUUGUCUGUAAGUUACGACAGUGCGACAGUACAAUGAGCGCCAGCGGCCGGGCGGGCGGGUGUUAUAGGAUUACAGCUGGACUACAACUGUGGAUACCGCUUUAUCAAACCUUAAGCUGCUUGGGCUCAAAGAAAAAUAUCGAUCCAUCGUGUGCUAUUAAGAACAUCUCACAUACUUUGUUGAAUGAUUCAAGAUGACCACAAGUUCUUUGGAUCUGUCGUUGCUGGGAACAGCGAUCCUGCGAAGUGGCACUGGUUGCCUACCAGCUAGCCUCUGUCCGAGCAGGCCACUUCACCGUUACUUGAAGCUGCUGCCGGCUAAAAGAAGCUGAGCAAGCCCCGUGCGCAUAUGCCCACUGAUAUAACCUGGAGAGAUGGUCACUUCUGGGCACACCAUCCUUCCUGACCAAGUUGUGUGGAAAGGCAUCCAAGACACCCUUGGCCUUGGAUCACUUUCUGGAAGAAGAUCCAGGAGGGGGCAUCUCUUUUGCAUGGUUUCUCGUGACACUGAGGGUAUACUGUGGAUCAGCCCUGCAGGGGCAGCAAGCUGAAGAACAAAGCCAGAACCUAUGAAGAAGUUCUGGAGAUUGUGUCGAAAACAGCACAAGUGUAAGGGAACGUUUUACUUGGUAACCAGAUACACUUAAUAUACUUUGCAACUCUAAGAUGUUUUUUUGAUCGCUGCAGAUUCAACAGAUGUCACAGAUUUUUCACCAUUUCUCUGUAUGUACAAUAAAUGCUCAGUCCUGUA